rnacentral:rRNA from 1 species
UACACGACCGUACCGCAAACCGACACUGGUGCGCGAGAUGAGUAUUCUAAGGCGCUUGAGAGAACUCAGGAGAAGGAACUCGGCAAAUUGACACCGUAACUUCGGGAGAAGGUGUGCCUUUAGUAGGUGAACCAUUUACUUGGGGAGCCCAAUGAGGCUGCAAAAAAUCGGUGGCUCAACUAUUUAUUAAAAACACAGCACUCUGCUAAGACGAAAGUCGACGUAUAGGGUGUGACGCCUGCCCGGUGCUGGAAGAUUAAAUGAUGGGGUGCAAGCUCUUGAUUGAAGUCCCAGUAAACGGCGGCCGUAACAAUAACGGUCCUAAGGUAGCGAAAUUCCUUGUCGGGUAAGUUCCGACCUGCACGAAUGGCGUAAUGAUGGCCACACUGUCUCCUCCUGAGACUCAGCGAAGUUGAAAUGUUUGUGAUGAUGCAAUCUCCCCGCGGAAAGACGGAAAGACCCCAUGAACCUUUACUGUAGCUUUGUAUUGGACUUUGAACAUAUCUGUUUAGGAUAGGUGGGAGGCUUUGAAGUGUGGUCGCUAGAUCGCAUGGAGCCAACGUUGAAAUACCACCCUGGUGUGUUUGAGGUUCUAACCUAGGUCCAUUAUCUGGAUCGGGGACAGUGCAUGGUAGGCAGUUUGGCUGGGGCGGUCUCCUCCCAAAGUGUAACGGAGGAGUUCGAAGGUACGCUAGUUACGGUCGGACAUCGUGAUAAUAGUGCAAUGGCAUAAGCGUGCUUAACUGCGAGACUGACAAGUCGAGCAGAUGCGAAAGCAGGACAUAGUGAUCCGGUGGUUCUGUAUGGAAGGGCCAUCGCUCAACGUAUAAAAGGUACUCUGGGGAUAACAGGCUGAUACCGCCCAAGAGUUCAUAUCGACGGCGGUGUUUGGCACCUCGAUGUCGGCUCAUCUCAUCCUGGGGCUGUAGCCGGUCCCAAGGGUAUGGCUGUUCGCCAUUUAAAGAGGUACGUGAGCUGGGUUUAAAACGUCGUGAGACAGUUUGGUCCCUAUCUUCCGUGGGCGCUGCAGAUUUGAGGAAGCCUGCUCCUAGUACGAGAGGACCGGAGUGGACGAACCUCUGGUGUAUCGGUUGUCACGCCAGUGGCAUUGCCGAGUAGCUAAGUUCGGAAGAGAUAACCGCUGAAAGCAUCUAAGCGGGAAACUCGUUUCAAGAUUAGAUCUGCCGGGGCCUUGAGCCCCCUAAAGAGUCGUUCAAGACCAGGACGUUGAUAGGUCAGGUGUGGAAGCUA